GUCAGUUAAAACCAGGGCCUUUUUUAAGGAUUUUCCCGUGGGGGGGCAUUUUUUGAAAAGGGACUUUUCUGUGAUAUAAUAUAUUAGAGGGGGAUAGCAAUGGCUGAAGGCUACGUGUGUCGCCAAUAUACCACUCAUGAAUGGGGGGUGGUCUGGGGGAGUAUUCCCCCAGAAAAUUUUUGAAAUUUGAAUCCCGGAAAUGUCAUUUCCUGCAUUCUGAGCAUCCAAAUUUGCUCCAAAAUUUAUGCUAACUAUACUUGUAUCUGAAAUAAAUAAAGGGAAAAACGCAC